rnacentral:lncRNA from 1 species
AGCUAUAUCUUGAGCAAUUUGACAAGGUUUUGGCUCGAAAUUUCAAGGAAUGUGUAAUUUUAUGUUAGUAAACUUUGUGCAUAAUUUUUAUGACAUUUGGAGUUCGGGUUUUUGAGAUAUAAGGAAAAUAGUUUUUCGGGUGCUUGUAAAUUAGGAUUUGGAGUGUCUGCUAGGAUUUCUUAGAUGCGAGAAGAUCAGGAGUGAAUUUGCAGUUGAUUUUUUUUGUGGUAAAAUUUGAAGUUAAAUUAAAUCUAUCUUGUAAAUUUGAAACAAACUAAAUAGUUAGAUAUAUAGUUAUGAUUUUUUUAAGUUCAGAGG